GCUGGGUAUGAUGGCGUGCAUCCAUAGUCCCAGCUACUCUGGAAGCUGAGGCAGGGAGGAUUGCUUGAGCCCAGGGGUUCUGGGCUAUAGUACACUAUGCUGACCUGCUGUCAUACCAAAGUUCUGCAUCAAUAUGGUGAGUUCCCAGGACCAGAGGACCAUCAGGAGGGAUGGACCAACCUAGGUUGGACAUAGAGCAGGUCAGAACUCCUGUGCUGAUUAGUAGUGGAAUUGCACCUGUGAAUAGUCACUGCACUCCAGCUUGGACAACAUAGAGAGAUCCUGCCU
rnacentral:SRP_RNA from 10 species